AACAGGAUUAGAUACCCUGGUAGUCCACGCCGUAAACGAUGUCGACUUGGAGGUUGUUCCCUUGAGGAGUGGCUUCCGGAGCUAACGCGUUAAGUCGACCGCCUGGGGAGUACGGCCGCAAGGUUAAAACUCAAAUGAAUUGACGGGGGCCCGCACAAGCGGUGGAGCAUGUGGUUUAAUUCGAUGCAACGCGAAGAACCUUACCUACUCUUGACAUCCAGGGAAUUUAGCAGAGAUGCUUUAGUGCCUUCGGGAACCGUGAGACAGGUGCUGCAUGGCUGUCGUCAGCUCGUGUUGUGAAAUGUUGGGUUAAGUCCCGCAACGAGCGCAACCCUUAUCCUUUGUUGCCAGCGAUUCGGUCGGGAACUCAAAGGAGACUGCCGGUGAUAAACCGGAGGAAGGUGGGGAUGACGUCAAGUCAUCAUGGCCCUUACGAGUAGGGCUACACACGUGCUACAAUGGCGCAUACAAAGAGAAGCGACCUCGCGAGAGCAAGCGGACCUCACAAAGUGCGUCGUAGUCCGGAUCGGAGUCUGCAACUCGACUCCGUGAAGUCGGAAUCGCUAGUAAUCGUGGAUCAGAAUGCCACGGUGAAUACGUUCCCGGGCCUUGUACACACCGCCCGUCACACCAUGGGAGUGGGUUGCAAAAGAAGUAGGUAGCUUAACCUUCGGGAGGGCGCUUACCACUUUGUGAUUCAUGACUGGGGUGAAGUCGUAACAAGGUAACC
rnacentral:rRNA from 1 species